rnacentral:rRNA from 1 species
AGAGUUUGAUCCUGGCUCAGGAUGAACGCUAGCGGCAGGCCUAGUACAUGCAAGUCGAACGCUCAGUAGCAAUACUGGGAGUGGCGCACGGGUGCGUAACGCGUACACAAUCUACCUCUAAGCGGGGGACACCUCCUGGAAACGGGGAUUAAUACCGCAUAAUAUGCCGAAGUCGCAUGACUUUGGUAUUAAAGCAGCAAUGCACUUAGAGAUGAGUGUGCGUCCCAUUAGGUAGUUGGUGAGGUAACGGCUCACCAAGUCUAUGAUGGGUAGCCGGUCUGAGAGGAUGGUCGGCCACACGGGCACUGAGACACGGGCCCGACUCCUACGGGAGGCAGCAGUAAGGAAUAUUGGUCAAUGGUGGAAACACUGAACCAGCCAUGCCGCGUGGAGGAAUAAGGUCCUACGGAUUGUAAACUCCUUUUGACGAGGAAGAAAAUGUUAGAUUUAUCUAAUUUUGACGGUACUCGUAGAAUAAGCACCGGCUAACUCCGUG